GCAUGGGUUUAGAUUUAUAGCAGACCUGUCCCCCUAGGCCUCUCAUAGUAUCUCAUGCCAGAACAAGCUGUGGCUCCAAACCAUGAAAGUGGAAUUGGCAGAAUUGGUGACAAGCAGGG
rnacentral:snoRNA from 1 species